rnacentral:snRNA from 1 species
UUAUUUCUUUGCACAACAUGU